CUUCCUAAAGGACUGGGAUGCAGGGUACAGUUGGGGGUCCGCCGGCCUCGCAUAUCUAUACCAUUCGAGGACGGAAGACACGUCCGGUAUGUGUGGAUGUGUCUGGGGCCUCUCCUUUGGAUGUGAGAGCGAAUACCGGUGGGGCGUCCGGAGAAGUUGCACCAGCGUGAAUGGACUGACUAUGGUGAAGAUGACGAAGAUGAUCGAUACCCGACCGUCGCAUACGCUUAGGACGUGGUGGGUGUAUACACGGGCACAUCCAAGGCUUUGUACAAGGUCUUCACCAACGAGCUUGAUGCUCUGACGGCUUUCAAGGUUAAUUGGCGGCCGUAUAAUGAACGAGCGUGGGGGUUCGAGCUGAACGUGAUGUGCAGGCAAGACCGGCUUCUCUGGCGGUGCAUCGUGCCCAUGAUUUGUGUCUAUGCCGUCGAGUACCACUUGCCACAGUGCGUUGCCACGCAAUUUGGCAGAAGAAUCGGUCGAUCAUAGAUUGGGGAGAGCAACAUGCCAGAUACGUGAAGGAAUGGACUGAGUGGAAAACUCGCAAAGAUGUGGAGAGGAAAGUGAUCGACUGGGAUGAAUACGAGGAUCACAUGUGGUGGUACGACGAUGGCAUCAAGCAUCGUCUGCGCCUGAGGCCCCAGCGGACGACAGCAGACGCCAAAGAACUGUACGAUGACGGCUCCGAGAAUGAAGCCUACCAUGACAACAUCAGAGAGCUAAAAGGCAGAUUUAGGGAGUAUGGACCCCUCAUGAACAGAAUGUCUUCGGAGCUGAACAAAAGCAUUUGAAGCCUCGGGUGCGCUAAGUUCUAUCCUCGAGACUCGAGAUAGUGAGAAGAAGUUGAGGGGAACGGUGAAG